UACGGAGGGUGCAAGCGUUGUUCGGAAUUAUUGGGCGUAAAGCGCGUGUAGGCGGCUACCUAAGUCUGGUGUGAAAGCCCGGGGCUUAACCCCGGAAGUGCACUGGAUACUGGGUAGCUAGAGGACGGGAGAGGAGAGCGGAAUUCAUGGUGUAGGGGUGAAGUCCGUAGAUAUCAUGAGGAACAUCCGUGGCGAAGGCGGCUCUCUGGCCCGUAACUGACGCUGAGACGCGAAAGCGUGGGGAGCAAACAGG
rnacentral:rRNA from 1 species